GACGAACGCUGGCGGCGUGCUUAACACUUGCAAGUCGAACGGAAAGGCCCUGCUUGCAGGGUACUCGAGUGGCGAACGGGUGAGUAACACGUGGGUGAUCUGCCCUGCACUUCGGGAUAAGCUUGGGAAACUGGGUCUAAUACCGGAUAGGAACCAUCUUUAGUGUGGUGGUUGGAAAGUUUUUUCGGUGUAGGAUGAGCUCGCGGCCUAUCAGCUUGUUGGUGGGUUAAUGGCCUACCAAGGCGGCGACGGGUAGCCGGCCUGAGAGGGUGUACGGCCACAUUGGGACUGAGAUACGGCCCAGACUCCUACGGGAGGCAGCAGUGGGGAAUAUUGCACAAUGGGCGCAAGCCUGAUGCAGCGACGCCGCGUGGGGGAUGAAGGCCUUCGGGUUGUAAACUCCUUUCGCUAGGGACGAAGCUUUGUUGUGACGGUACCUAGAUAAGAAGCACCGGCUAACUACGUG
rnacentral:rRNA from 1 species